AGUUCGAUUUUCAUUGGAGUUUUUUUUGGAAAGAUCAAGGGAAUUAGAGAGAGGAGCUUCAUGCUUCGGGUCGGGGAAGGAAAGACAUAGAAUUUGGAUUUUUCUUCUUCGUAGAGUUUUGGGACGACUGAGGCAAUCGCUGCUGAAGUCAGUAUUGUAAUGGUGAAUCAGGAUUUUUAAAUGAAGUGGGUUUGAAUACUCUUGACUGUUUUAUAAAAUCGAGUUACGUCUGUGAUUGAAGGAUUAAAAGGGUGUCUAUAGGAUUGAGUAUGCGGAGUGAAUAAAAUUUAUUGGGUUAAUCUAACAGGACAGUCAGUGGAUACAAGAUCGUAAGUACAAAGGAGUAUUGAAGAUUAACAGUUUGGG
rnacentral:lncRNA from 1 species